rnacentral:rRNA from 1 species
GACGAACGCUGGCGGCGUGCUUAACACAUGCAAGUCGAACGGAAAGGCCCUGCUUUUGUGGGGUGCUCGAGUGGCGAACGGGUGAGUAACACGUGAGUAACCUGCCCUUGACUUUGGGAUAACUUCAGGAAACUGGGGCUAAUACCGGAUAGGAGCUCCUGCUGCAUGGUGGGGGUUGGAAAGUUUCGGCGGUUGGGGAUGGACUCGCGGCUUAUCAGCUUGUUGGUGGGGUAGUGGCUUACCAAGGCUUUGACGGGUAGCCGGCCUGAGAGGGUGACCGGGCACAUUGGGACUGAGAUACGGCCCAGACUCCUACGGGAGGCAGCAGUGGGGAAUAUUGCACAAUGGGCGGAAGCCGGAUGCAGCAACGCCGCGUGCGGGAUGACGGCCUUCGGGUUGUAAACCGCUUUCGCCUGUGACGAAGCGUGAGUGACGGUAAUGGGUAAAGAAGCACCGGCUAACUACGUG